UCGAUCCAUGCUCGCGGCCUAUCAGCUUGUUGGUGGGGUAACGGCCUACCAAGGCGACGACGGGUAGCCGGCCUGAGAGGGCGACCGGCCACACUGGGACUGAGACACGGCCCAGACUCCUACGGGAGGCAGCAGUGGGGAAUAUUGCGCAAUGGGCGAAAGCCUGACGCAGCGACGCCGCGUGAGGGACGACGGCCUUCGGGUUGUAAACCUCUUUCAGCAGGGACGAAGCGAAAGUGACGGUACCUGCAGAAGAAGCACCGGCUAACUACGUGCCAGCAGCCGCGGUAAUACGUAGGGUGCAAGCAUUGUCCGGAUUUAUUGGGCGUAAAGAGCUCGUAGGCGGCUAGUCACGUCGGAUGUGAAAACUCGGGGCUCAACCCCGAGCCUGCAUUCGAUACGGGCUGGCUAGAGUGUUGCAGGGGAGACUGGAAUUCCUGGUGUAGCGGUGAAAUGCGCAGAUAUCAGGAGGAACACCGGUGGCGAAGGCGGGUCUCUGGGCAACUACUGACGCUGAGGAGCGAAAGCGUGGGGAGCGAACAGGAUUAGAUACCCUGGUAGUCCACGCCGUAAACGUUGGGCGCUAGGUGUGGGGAACCUUCCACGUUCUCCGUGCCGUAGCUAACGCAUUGAGCGCCCCGCCUGGGGAGUACGG
rnacentral:rRNA from 1 species